rnacentral:rRNA from 1 species
CGAACGAGCGAGAGAGAGUUACUUUUUCGAGCGAGUGGCGAACGGGUGAGUAACGCGUGAGGAACCUGCCUCAAAGAGGGGGACAACAGUUGGAAACGACUGCUAAUACCGCAUAAGCCCACGGCUCGGCAUCGAGCAGAGGGAAAAGGAGCAAUCCGCUUUGAGAUGGCCUCGCGUCCGAUUAGCUAGUUGGUGAGGUAACGGCCCACCAAGGCGACGAUCGGUAGCCGGACUGAGAGGUUGAACGGCCACAUUGGGACUGAGACACGGCCCAGACUCCUACGGGAGGCAGCAGUGGGGAAUAUUGCACAAUGGGGGAAACCCUGAUGCAGCGACGCCGCGUGGAGGAAGAAGGUCUUCGGAUUGUAAACUCCUGUUGUUGAGGAAGAUAAUGACGGUA